UACGUAGGGCGCAAGCGUUGUCCGGAAUUAUUGGGCGUAAAGAGCUCGUAGGCGGUUUGUCGCGUCUGUCGUGAAAGCUUGGGGCUUAACCCUAAGUCUGCGGUGGAUACGGGCAGGCUAGAGGCAGGUAGGGGAGAACGGAAUUCCCGGUGUAGCGGUGAAAUGCGCAGAUAUCGGGAGGAAUACCGGUGGCGAAGGCGGUUCUCUGGGCCUGUACUGACGCUGAGGAGCGAAAGCGUGGGGAGCGAACAGG
rnacentral:rRNA from 1 species